CACCAUUAAUUGCACCGCUUGGGAGAACACUUGCUGAAUGCAAUAACAAUCGAACACUUCAUCUUGAGGCUUACUUUUCAUUUGAAAUUUACAUGCACAAAAACUACAAAAAAUGAUGAGAUGAAAGCACGUAGCAUAUUUGGAUUUGAAUGGUCUGAACCCUUGGUUACAUUUGCACUCUCCUGUGGAAGCUGUUCUUUUCCUGCUGUAAGUUUGUAUUCACUCAAGGUGAUAUUCUUAAUUUGUGGGGGAAGUCCCAAGUUUUUUUUUUUUUUUUUUAAUAUUUUGGACCAUGAGAGUAUAAUUCAUGGGUUCACAGAC